UAUCACCUGGCUGGGCAGGGAGCUGUUUGCUCACCAGUGGGAAGAGAAACGGAUGUCAGACACAUGGCAGAGUGGGAAUGUCUCCAAGUCCAGGUCCAAUGGGCUGGGAGGGCUGGCCUUCUGCCAGCACAUGCUUCUUGGGAUCUCAGUGUGAAUGGUGUUCAGGAGGCUAGGGGAAGGCACCCUGGACCUCACUACAGGCUCAGAGCCUGCCCAGCAACACCAUGGAUACUCUCUCUAAAAGG
rnacentral:lncRNA from 1 species